AACGGCCGUACCAUGCUGAAUAUACCGGUUCUCGUUAGAUCACCGAAGUUAAGCAUCAUUGGGCGCGGUCAGUACUUGGGUGGGUGACCACCUGGGAAAAAUGCGUGUCGUU